GACGAACGCGGCGGCGUGCCUAAUACAUGCAAGUCGAACGAACCGCGACUAAGUGCUUGCACUUGGUCAAGGUGAGUGGCGAACGGGUGAGUAACACGUGGGUAACCUACCUCAUAGUGGGGGAUAACAGUCGGAAACGACUGCUAAUACCGCAUAGGACAUGGGAUUACAUGAUUCCGUGAGGAAAGGUGGCGCAAGCUAUCGCUAAGAGAUGGACCCGCGGUGCAUUAGCUAGUUGGUAGGGUAACGGCCUACCAAGGCAAUGAUGCAUAGCCGACCUGAGAGGGUGAUCGGCCACAUUGGGACUGAGACACGGCCCAAACUCCUACGGGAGGCAGCAGUAGGGAAUCUUCCGCAAUGGACGCAAGUCUGACGGAGCAACGCCGCGUGAGUGAAGAAGGUUUUCGGAUGUAAAGCUCUGUUGUUAGAGAAGAACAGCGC
rnacentral:rRNA from 1 species